rnacentral:pre_miRNA from 1 species
UUUCUACUCCCUCCGUCCAAAAAUACUUGUCAUCAAAAUGGAUAAAAAGAGAUGUAUCUAAAACUAAAAUACGUCUAGAUACAUUUCCUUUUAUCCAUUUUGAUGACAAGUAUUUCUGGACAGAGGGAGUAUUUG